rnacentral:rRNA from 1 species
GGCAUGCUUAACACAUGCAAGUCGAACGGCAGCACGAGAGAGCUUGCUCUCUUGGUGGCGAGUGGCGGACGGGUGAGUAACGCGUAGGAAUCUACCCUGGAGCGGGGGACAACUUGGGGAAACCCAAGCUAAUACCGCAUACGCCCUACGGGGGAAAGCAGGGGACCUCUUCGGAGGCCUUGCACUCUAGGAUGAGCCUGCGUCCGAUUAGCUUGUUGGUGGGGUAACGGCCUACCAAGGCGACGAUCGGUAGCUGGUCUGAGAGGACGAUCAGCCACACUGGGACUGAGACACGGCCCAGACUCCUACGGGAGGCAGCAGUGGGGAAUAUUGGACAAUGGGCGCAAGCCUGAUCCAGCAAUGCCGCGUGUGUGAAGAAGGCCUGCGGGUUGUAAAGCACUUUCAAUUGGGAAGAAAAGCUCGAGGCUAAUAUCCUCGGGUCUUGACGUUACCUUUAGAAGAAGCACCGGCUAACUCCGUGCCAGCAGUCGCGGUAAUACGGAGGGUGCGAGCGUUAAUCGGAAUUACUGGGCGUAAAGCGCGCGUAGGCGGCUUGGUCAGUCGGAUGUGAAAUCCCUGGGCUCAACCUAGGAAUUGCAUUCGAUACUGCCUGGCUAGAGUGUGGUAGAAGGGAAGUGGAAUUCCAGGUGUAGCGGUGAAAUGCGUAGAUAUCUGGAGGAACAUCAGUGGCGAAGGCGACUUCCUGGACCAACACUGACCCUGAGG